CCUACGGGAGGCAGCAGUGGGGAAUAUUGCACAAUGGGGGAAACCCUGAUGCAGCGACGCCGCGUGCAGGAAGAAGUAUUUCGGUAUGUAAAGCUCUAUUAGCAGGGAAGAAUAUGACGGUACCUGACUAAGAAGCCCCGGCUAACUACGUGCCAGCAGCCGCGGUAAUACGUAGGGGGCAAGCGUUAUCCGGAUUUACUGGGUGUAAAGGGAGCGUAGGCGGGGUAAGAAGUCUGAAGUGAAAUCCUGAGGCUUAACUACGGAACUGCUUUGGAAACUGUUCGGCUGGAGUGCAGGAGAGGUAAGCGGAAUUCUUAGUGUAGGGGUGAAAUGCGUAGAUAUCAGGAGGAACACCAGUGGCGAAGGCGGCUUACUGGACUGUAACUGACGUUGAGGCUCGAAAGCGUGGGGAGCAAACAGGAUUAGAUACCCCUGUAGUC
rnacentral:rRNA from 1 species